CAUGGAUUUACAAGUGUUUGUGCAGAACCUGUGUCAUUUUAUUUAUUUUCUUUCUUUUCAAGAAGAUACUCUAGCUCUAUCACUCAGAAAAUAAAUCUUAGCAGCGACAGGGCCCAAUGAGGAGCUGAGCGUCCACCCUGACCAAACAGCAGUAUAGCGGAAAAUCACUUGUCAUACCAAGAACCAGGAAAAUAGCAACAUGAAUGAGAAAAGACAACCAACAAACUGACCAGACACCUACACUGAGAUAAAUCAGAUGUUGCCUGAUGAGGGAGAGAAAGAAGAUAGCCAGUAGUUGGAGACCGUCUGUAGAACUAGAACAGUGCAUGGGAAGCAAGUUAUAAAUUUUACAUUCUUCUGUGGGAACAAGAAUCUUGAUGCUCUGCAAAGCAGAACCAAAAUACUCAAGUAUACUAUACAGCUGGGUUCAGUACUAAACUGCCCACUUCAGAGAACUCUGAAUUCCUACUCUGCUGCCUAAAGACAAGCACGAAGGGAUGCAGCUGUUUUCUUUGUUCACCAGGAGUUGCAGCUGCCUGUUAAACUGAUCGUGCAUGUGCACAGGGUACCUGUCACAGGUGAAGGACAUCUGGGAUUUUUCUAGUGUGAAGCAAUUAUGAAUAAGGCUACUCUUAUUUGCAAACAGAUGUGCAUGUGAAUACAAGAUUCAUUUUACUAUCAGUUUCUAAUUCUGGAGUUGUUCCUUCUUAAUACAAGGCUGAGUGAGAGAGAAAGAGAAAAGAGAGAGGGUGACAAGAGCCACACUUUUGGACAUGAUCACAGGACUCGAGUAGUGCCUGAAGGGUAAAUUGUAAAUUUCACAUUGUUC